CUACACUCAUCUCUCUCCUCUAACAGUGCAAAUAAAAAAUAAAUAGAAAGUGAAAAAGAAAAAAGUUGAUUCACGUUCACCACUGGUCAAAAUAAUAAAAAGGAAAUAAAAAACAAAAGAGAGGAACAAUACUCUUCCCCAAAAAGACACACAUAUUCUCUCUGUAAAAAAAUAAUAAAAAGACAAGGAGAAAACGGAAACAGAGGAAGUCUCUCUCUCUCACUGUUUUAACUUUUUUUUCCUCUUCAUCCCUCACCCUUCCGUCAACCUACACAAACUCUUCACCAUUAGAACGUAAACCCAACACCGGCCACUCAUCUUCUUCUACCGCGAAUCUAACUCCGGCCGCUCAACCUCUCACUUCCGCUUCCAGCACCGUCGCCGACCUUCUCCUCCAUUAAAUCACCUACCUCAAACAACAUCGAAAAAUUCCCGUCGCUCUUCCCAAUCUCUUCUCCCUUCAACGCAUAUCUCUCGCCGGCAAAACCAACCACACAAACCAUAACCCACCUUCAUUUCUUCACCUUUCCAUCACCGCCCCACACUUUAACAACAACAAACCCCUGCCGGCAGCAACCUUCCGCAUACAAACCGAUGAUGCUACCGCCACACGCCGCGACACCCUUAACUCACGCCUCACACACGACCCUCCGACGAACGCCGUCAACACCCACAAAUCACCACCACACCAUCGCCGCGAGAACGCCGCUACGUUAAUUUUAAACCUUGUAUUUAUUUCCUUUUUUUAGGUACCGGCAUUGUCGGCGAAGCCAUUUAACUCCGAACAUCACCAUGAAGAAACCACCGUGACUUUUGACGUCAUUGUUACUACCAAAGAUAUUGGUGAGAAAUUAUAUUUCCAUUUAUCAUUUGCGUUUUCACGAGAGAGAUUUGAGAAUGGUCUUUAACUUACCUUUCCCUUAUUAUUUAAUAUACAUUUAUUUUGUUUAACAUACCAUUUGGCCUUAAUGGUUCACCCUGGAGGUUUGAAAAAUCAAAGAUACAUCUUAAUUGCAAUUUAUUUUUCUAAUGAUUUUAGGGAGUAUUAGAAGAAGUUGAUCCAUUUAUUCUGUUUUUUUAGCUAUUUAAAACAAAACCACUUGUUUCAAUUUAAAAUCAUGUUCAUGUUUUGGAUUAGGCUAUGUGUCUUUGUUUUGCAUGUUUGCUUUGUUGAAUGCACCCUCGUUAUUAUUUAUUUUUUUGUUAUUAUUAUUAUAUUUUAAUUGUUUACUUGAAUUAUUAAUUAAUUAAAUUAUUAUUUAUUAAUUGAUUAGUUGAUUAAUUGAUUAUUCUUAAUUGCUAAGUCGAUUUUUAAUUAAGUAAUUUUUUCCCCUCUAUCAUGACCACAUUCUUCCAUAUGUUAUAAAUAACUUUGUAAAUAUAAUACUUGUGUUGCUAUUGUGCAUAAAGUCCGAUUAAAUUAGCGGUUUCAACAUUGAUUUCAUGUCGAUAUGCCGUUAAAUUUCAAUAAAGCAAUAGAAUAUUUCACCGUGUUAUGAUCUUGCGGAUGACAUUGAUUGUGUUGUCAUCGCGUGCAAACUGAUUUUGAGCACAUUGUGAUCAAUUCAAGCCAAAUCAUUUUUAAGUUAAUAUUUCCACUUAUUUCUUUCUCUUUUAAUUAAAUUAAUUAAUUUAUUAAAGUUUUGUUUCACUAUUUAAAUUUUGAUUAACUAAUUCUAA
rnacentral:lncRNA from 1 species